GCCAGCGUGGCCUAGUGAUUUGAGCGUUGGACUAUGACUCUGGAGACCAGGGUUCAAAUCCCAGCUCUGCCA